rnacentral:lncRNA from 1 species
CCUCAUUCUUAGCCGACAGACCACAUCGUGAAUUUUUUUUAAUUUUUGAGAGAGGGGUAUUUCUGACUUUUUACACAAAAUCUGGCCAGCUUUUUAAGUUUUUUUUUUCAUAGGCCAAAUUAAGUUUACUAUAUAAAGCUGGUCAAAUCUAUAUAUUACCUCUUAUAUCUGUAUAUUAUGUUUGUCUGCAUUUUCUUUUUUAAAGUUAUCAAUUACUCAACCAAUCUUAUUACAACUUUUCAUCCAUCCAUAAAAAUUG